rnacentral:lncRNA from 1 species
UUUUGUCUACAUGGCGUGCCAUUGUCCCAUGCUAGUGUGGAAAGCAACGUGGACAAGCGCUGCGCCGUUGGCGCGGGGCCGGCGCCGGGGGGGGGGGGUUGAGGGUGGGGGUGGGCGAGCGUGGGCCGGACACAUCCCUGGGCCGCUGGUCCCACACGACAGAGACGGAGAGCGGGCGGGAAGAGACCGGGCAGCGGGCGCGCGCGGUGAGGAAGCCCGCAAGGUCGAAGAGGAGGCAGGCGGCGGAGAAGGCCGGGGUGGAGAGGAGCGUGGCACGGUGGGAGGUGGUCACCGAGGAGAAGACCUUCGGCAAGCUCGGCAUGGUUUCGGCGAACUCGCCACCGCGUGGAUCGGCAAGGCGCGCCGAAUCAGAGCCGUGGGAGACGAGGAGGGGGAGACGGGGAGUGGUGGUGGUGGGCGCUGGGUG